GAUGAACGCUAGCGGCAGGCUUAAUACAUGCAAGUUGAGGGGCAGCAUGAUAUACGCGAGUAUAUUGAUGGCGACCGGCGGACGGGUGAGUAAUAGGUAGGAGACCUACCUCAUACAGGGGGAUAGCAUAGAGAAAUCUGUGGUAAUACCCCAUGAGGUUAUAUGAAUAGAGGCAUAUAAUCAAAGCAUAAGCGAUUAUGCGGUAUGAGAGGGGCCUACUGACCAUUAGCUAGUUGGUGAGGUAAGGGCUCACCAAGGCGAAGAUGGUUAGGGGUUUUGAGAGAGAGACCCCCCACAUUGGAACUGAGAGACGGUCCAGACUCCUACGGGAGGCAGCAGUAGGGAAUAUUGGGCGAAUGGGCGAAAGCCUGACCCAGCCAUGCCGCGUGAAGGAAGACGGCCUUAUGGGUUGUAAACUUCUUUACUACGCGAAUAGAGGUUAGUACGAGAUACUAAUAGGAAGGUAGUGUAGUAAAAGACACCGGCUAACUCCGUGCC
rnacentral:rRNA from 1 species